rnacentral:tRNA from 1 species
GGCCUCGUGGUGUAGUGGUUAACAUGUCUCCCUGUCACGGAGAAGAUCACGGGUUCGACUCCCGUCGAGGUCGC